UACAGACGGUCCAAACGUUAUUCGGAAUCACUGGGCUUAAAGAGUUCGUAGGCGGUCAGGAAAGUCGGGUGUGAAAGCCCUCGGCUCAAACCGGAGGAAGUGCGCCCGAAACUGCCAGAGCUUGAGUACCGGAGAGGAUGGCGGAAUUCCCCAAGUAGAGGUGAAAUUCGUAGAUAUGGGGAGGAACACCGGUGGCGAAGGCGGCCAUCUGGACGGAUACUGACGCUGAGACGCGAAAGCGUGGGUAGCAAACAGGG
rnacentral:rRNA from 1 species